rnacentral:rRNA from 1 species
AUUGAACGCUGGCGGCAGGCUUAACACAUGCAAGUCGAGCGGAGAGAGGUAGCUUGCUACUGAUCUUAGCGGCGGACGGGUGAGUAAUGCUUAGGAAUCUGCCUAUUAGUGGGGGACAACAUUUCGAAAGGAAUGCUAAUACCGCAUACGUCCUACGGGAGAAAGCAGGGGAUCUUCGGACCUUGCGCUAAUAGAUGAGCCUAAGUCGGAUUAGCUAGUUGGUGGGGUAAAGGCCUACCAAGGCGACGAUCUGUAGCGGGUCUGAGAGGAUGAUCCGCCACACUGGGACUGAGACACGGCCCAGACUCCUACGGGAGGCAGCAGUGGGGAAUAUUGGACAAUGGGCGGAAGCCUGAUCCAGCCAUGCCGCAUGUGUGAAGAAGGCCUUAUGGUUGUAAAGCACUUUAAGCGAGGAAGAGGCUACUUUAGUUAAUACCUAGAGAUAGUGGACGUUACUCGCAGAAUAAGCACCGGCUAACUCUGUGCCAGCCGCCGCCGUAAUAC